CUGUACUAAUUUCAUACUGUUCAUAUAUCCGCAGAGAUAGGGUCUGCAAGUUUCUACCAGGCUGCCGUAAAUGGCCUGACUAUGAGCAAAAACUGUGCCGUA
rnacentral:ncRNA from 2 species